GAUGAACGCUGACAGAAUGCUUAACACAUGCAAGUCUACCAAGAAUCACUUCGGUGAGGAAUGGUGGCGGACGGGUGAGUAACGCGUAAAUAAUCUGCCUUUAGACUGGGAUAUCCUUUGGAAACGAAGGUUAAUACCGGAUAUUAUGAGAUGGACGCAUGUUCAACUUAUGAAAGCUAAAUGCACUAGGGGAGGAGUUUGCGUCCCAUUAGCUAGUUGGUGAGGUAAAGGCUCACCAAGGCCACGAUGGGUAGCCGGCCUGAGAGGGUGAACGGCCACAAGGGAACUGAGACACGGUCCUUACUCCUACGGGAGGCAGCAGUGGGGAAUAUUGGACAAUGGACCAAAAGUCUGAUCCAGCAAUUCUGUGUGCACGAUGAAGGUCUUCGGAUUGUAAAGUGCUUUCAGUAGGGAAGAAAAAAAUGACGGUACCUACAGAAGAAGCGACGGCUAAAUAUGUGCCAGCCGCCGCGGUAACAC
rnacentral:rRNA from 1 species